rnacentral:rRNA from 1 species
CAAAAACAUUGCUUGUCGAAAAACUAUGACAAGUAACUCCUGCCCAGUGAUAUAUUUAACGGCCGCGGUAUACUAACCGUGCAAAGGUAGCAUAAUAAUUUGCCCAUUAAUUGUGGGCUAGAAUGAACGGAUAAACGAAAUAAAGACUAUCUCAUCUAGUUAAAUAAAAAUUAACAUUUAACUGAAGAGGAUUAAAUACCAUCGAAGGACAAGAAGACCCUAUAGAGCUUUAUCACUAAUAAACAAUUAAUAUGUUUAGUAGAUUCGGUUGGGGCGACCAUGGGAUUUAAAAAUCACCCAAAACAAAUAGAUAAAUAUAUCACUAUAAAUGACCCUGAAAAUCAGAUCAUAAGAACAAGCUACCUUAGGGAUAACAGGCUAAUCCUAUUAAAGAGUCCAUAUCAAUAGUAGGGAUUGGCACCUCGAUGUUGGCUUAGGGCAUUCUUUAUGGCGCAAAAGUCAUAAACAGAUAGUUUGUUCAACUAAUAAAUCCCUACGUGAUCU